UUUCCCAAUGUCGAGAAAGAUUUCAAAGGUCUGGAUCAACAAUAAGUCGACACUUUGCAGUUGUGCUUGAGAAAGUUUCAAGGAUGGCCACUGAUCUAAUUGCACCCGAAGAUCCUUUUUUUAGCUCAAUACCCGAACAAAUACGUAAUGAUUCUAGAUAUAUGCCGCAUUUUAAGGGUUGCAUAGGUGCAAUUGAUGGUACUCACAUUGCGGCUAUUCUUCCACCAAAUGAACAAAUUCCCUAUAUUGGAAGAAAAGGUAUCCCGACUCAAAAUGUUAUGGCAGUAUGUGAUUUUAAUAUGUGUUUCACAUUUGUCAUGGCUGGAUGGGAAUGAUCGGCACAUGACACUAGAAUAUUUCUUGAUGCAAUUCGAGAUCCAAAAUACAAAUUUCCGCACCCUCCAAAUGGAAAAUAUUAUCUUGUUGAUUUUGGAUAUCCUCAAAUGAAAGGUUAUCUUGGACCAUAUAGAGGUCAGCGA